rnacentral:rRNA from 1 species
AUUGAACGCUGGCGGCAUGCUUUACACAUGCAAGUCGAACGGUAACAGGUUAAGCUGACGAGUGGCGAACGGGUGAGUAAUGCAUCGGAACGUGCCCGAUCGUGGGGGAUAACGCAGCGAAAGCUGCGCUAAUACCGCAUACGAUCUGAGGAUGAAAGCGGGGGACCGUAAGGCCUCGCGCGAUCGGAGCGGCCGAUGUCAGAUUAGGUAGUUGGUGGGGUAAAGGCUCACCAAGCCGACGAUCUGUAGCUGGUCUGAGAGGACGACCAGCCACACUGGGACGGGGACACGGCCCAGAAUCCGACGGGAGGCAGCAGUGGGGAAUUUUGGACAAUGGGCGAAAGCCUGAUCCAGCAAUGCCGCGUGCAGGAAGAAGGCCUUCGGGUUGUAAACUGCUUUUGUACGGAGCGAAAAGGCUCUCUCUAAUACAGGGGGCUCAUGACGGUACCGUAAGAAUAAGCACCGGCUAACUACGUGCCAGCAGCCGCCGUAA